rnacentral:tRNA from 1 species
UCCCUGGUGGUCCAGUGGUUAAGACUCCAUUCUCUUAACGUAGGGGGCCCAGGUUCAAUCUCUGGUCAGGGAA